rnacentral:rRNA from 1 species
UUCUAAAUCCUCCUUUAGACAAACAUUUCAUUUUGUCGUCCGUUUUUGCUAAAUUAGCAAAUGUAGCCCAUUUCUUUCCCCUCCAUGCAUUACACCUCGACCUAACGUUUUAGGUUGGUACCAAUUUUGCUUACUAUUAGCCCUUCAUAGGGUAAACUGACGACGGCGGUAUAUAGGCGGGAUAAACGUAGGUGGGGUGAGGUUUAACGGGGGUUAUCGGUUUUAGAACAGGCUCCUCUAGGUGGAUCUAAUCCUGAUCCAACAUCGAGGUCGUAAACC